GACGAACGCUGGCGGCGUGCCUAAUACAUGCAAGUCGAGCGGACGUUGCUGGAGCUUGCUCCAACAAUGUUAGCGGCGGACGGGUGAGUAACACGUGGGCAACCUGCCUUAACGACUGGGAUAACUCCGGGAAACCGGGGCUAAUACCGGAUAACAUCUAGCACCUCCUGGUGCAAGAUUAAAAGAGGGCCUCUGGCUCUCACGUUAAGAUGGGCCCGCGGCGCAUUAGCUAGUUGGAGAGGUAAUGGCUCCCCAAGGCGACGAUGCGUAGCCGACCUGAGAGGGUGAUCGGCCACACUGGGACUGAGACACGGCCCAGACUCCUACGGGAGGCAGCAGUAGGGAAUCUUCCGCAAUGGACGAAAGUCUGACGGAGCAACGCCGCGUGAGUGAAGAAGGGUUUCGGCUCGUAAAGCUCUGUUAUGAGGGAAGAACACGUACCGUUCGAAUAGGGCGGUACCUUGACGGUACCUCAUCAGAAAGCCACGGCUAACUACGUGCCAGCAGCCGCAGUAAUAC
rnacentral:rRNA from 1 species